rnacentral:misc_RNA from 1 species
UAAGCUAAAAAGUGAAGUGUAAUUAAAAAUAGAGUAGUGCAUGUCAUCUCUAUGCCACCUUAGGUAUCAGCUCUUCAAAAGUGUGUUGUAUGCAAACCAAUUCCCAGCAUAUUAUGAAAAUCCAUAAUACAAUGCUUAAAAGCGUUUGAAAUAAUUUAUCCAGUUAAAACGCUCUAUACAAAAAGUGCAAAUAGAUAGCAAAUACUAGAACACGUUCGUAGUAAUUACAGUUUAAACUGACUAAAUUGUGUAUAUUAACAUUUCUUUUAUCUUGUAGAAGAUAAUAAUUUCAUUGUUAGUUUAUUAAAGCCAUAUUGAAAGAAAAAUAAUAAGUAUAAAAAGGAGAAAAGUAGAAUAGCAUUCAAGUUAACCGGAAGUAAUCAAUGCAAAAGAUUUAUCAGCCAUAUGCAAUACACAGUGGAACUUGACUUUUAAAGGAAAUACAUAUUUCAAUGCUAGAUGACUGAAUACAGACGCACAGUAUGUUGACUCCAAGAGGCAGAGCAACCGGAUAUAGAAAUUGGAGCAUAGCACUCGUGUUCAUGGUUUUAUUCACCUUGUUACUAAAGUAUAUUUCAAUACGAAUGAUUGAAAGAGAACGCCGAUUGGAACUUCCUCAAAGCGAAAUAACAAUUACUACUUCCAAAGUUCAACAGACAGUCAUGGAGAACGUUCAACAGGAAAACGAAGGAGCUAGAUACAUAACAGAAAACAAGUCAAUGAAACAGCAAAGAACGCAAUAUACUAACAACGCAAAUGAUUCCAGUAACGAUAAUAGGAGACCAAAUGAAACUUAUCAUUACUGGAAGGACGAAAGAAGUGAUUAUAUCAAAACUAUAUAUGUAGGUAUAUUAGCACAGCCGUAUGGAAACCCUAACUCGCAUUUAAAAUCCAAGAUGCCUGACUUAUGGGCCAUUUAAAAACUUGCCAGGAAUCCAAAUAUUACUUCCUUACCACGUCAAAUAUUUUUUAAACUGUGACAAGAAUGCAACAUAUUUACACAGUGAAGUAUAAGGGGUGUAUACUUGAUUCAAUUUCAUAGAUUUUAGAACCUUAGAUAAAAAUACGCUGUUUAAAUAUAUGUCCCAUAAGCUUAAGAAUGAUAUUUAUAUCUCAGUUAUUUUAUGAGAACUGGGUUUGAAAACUGACCAUGUAAUCUUAUAUAAUAUAUAUGUAUAUUUAUAUGUGUGUGUGUGUCCCGCCAUGACAUUUUUAUCCGAAAUGACACAAGCCUCGAUAUCGGUAAAAUGACGUUGAAGUAGACGUCACUUAAUCAGAUAAUUGUUUUAUUAAUUUGUUUUUAAAGCAACAUCCAUUAGAGUUAAAAUCAAUAAUAUCGGACGAAGAUUUUUAAGUUUAAACGUUUCAACAUUUAGUUAUCAUACUAGAAUAAAGUACUUAGUGAAAUAUCACAAAUAAUAAGUGAAUUAGCGGAUUGUUUCCCUUUGAAAUCUACACGCCAUUAACGGUGUAUAUACAUGUGUGAAAAUGGGUUAGAGAAAACAUGCAGUUAUUGCUCUGAAUAUACGCGGAUAUUUAAAGCGCAUGGUGGAUUUAUUGGUUGUUAUGGACAACCUCCAGCAUUAUGAGAUAUAAAGGUUCACUGCAGUUUUGACUAUGCUCAACAAGUACUGUACACAUACUAUGCUCAGCAGGUGGAGUUGCUGUGUGUUCUCAUGCAGGCUCUCAGAUUUUCUACCUAGUGUAUGAAAAGUACAGUACAGCUGUUGGAAGAGGAGCAUCAUGGCUAUGGAUAAAAGAAGGUUUCAUUACAUAUGGACAAUUAUAUUGGACAAAAUAAGAAAAGUGUUCUAAUAAGUUCUGGAAUGUGGCUUGUUAUGAUGGGUCUACAUGAUUUACUUGGACUGCAACCUGAUUGAGGCCUGGCUUGCAGAAUUCAGUCCAGAACAUGUUUAGAAUGUCUUCUGCGUGACUUAGUAUAGUAUUCUUGAAGGAUUAUAACUUCAACACAGAGACAUAGAUUAAUAUUUUAGGCAGGUGAUUGGCAUGACGCAAAUUCUUCAACCGUAUUACCAUUCCUGAGCUGGAUGCCAGUCGACAGUUGUACUUGUAUAAUGAAAUAGUGCCCCUUUGCAGCAACAACAAUGUAUGCUCAAAAUUAGCAGUGCCAAAGCCAUUAAAAUUGAGAACUCAGUCAUGUAAAACAAAAUGAAUGGAAAAAGUGUUUAACAUUUAAAGUAAUACAGAGAAAGAGCUCAGCUCAUUUUGGUACUUUCUGAAAUUUUAAUUAACUUGAAAGUGUUUUUGAAUUUUUAAAGGUGUACUUGACCAAAAUUCCAUAUAUGAAUAUGAACAAAUGCUACAUUAUGUCAGCAAUAGUAUGCAUUGGUUAGAUAUAGAGACACUGUAUCUAUGUAAGGCUGAACACAGUCUAAAUAUGAAAUUCAUAAAAAAACACUGGAAGAUUUUUCAACAAUCUACAGUUUAGUACUGCAUGACAUAAAAUUAUGAAUGGAGCUCUACAUACACAUGAUUUAUACAUUAAGCAAAGUUAAACAUAUUUAUUGAUCAUUUUGAUGAUUUUCUACAUUUGAACAUUGUUGAAGUAAUUACCUAAAUGUUAAAUAUUUUACUGAAGAUAUAUUUUAUGCAACUAUAUAAGUUGGAAAAAGCUAACAUCCAGGAAGAAUAUUUUGAAAUGAUACUUUUACUUGAAAAUUUAUGUGAAAAAUGAAGGAAAUAGAUGUUAAAAUGAAUUCUUUAUUUUAUAUAAAAUUCUGUUGCCAUGGAAACAGAACUCGAGUAUUAAGUUUAUCUGCUUUCAUACCAGAGUUAUAUGACUUUUAAUUAUAAUAAUGUUAACAAUUUAAUGUUAUAUAAUUAUCACUCAUCUGAUACUUUUGAUUUUCAAUUAACAGUCAUUGAGCGAUGCAUCUUAAGUACAUUUGAAGUUGAAUGACAUAUUACAAAUAUUAGAUAUUGAUGGAAUUGGUUUUAGAUAUUUUUGAGUUGAAUAUAAAUCAGAAAAUUCACAAAUUCUAGUUCUUUUAGAGAAUUAAUAUACAUUUUAUAAAUUUACAUUUUUAGUAUCAAAUGUAGACUAAAAUGUUUGUUAAAUUGACAUUUAAAGCAAUUCUUGUAUUUUGUUGCUAUGGAAACAUGAAUUGUGACAAUUUUUUAAUAUAAAAUAGCAUAUUUAUAGCAAGAAGGAAUUAUCAACUGUGCUAAUCAUGUUAAAUACUUUAGAUAUUGAUGGUAGAAUACGAAAUUAAAAUAUAUGAUAAAAGUAAAUGAUUUUAUUAUUUGUCAUUACUAUUAUACAAAAAAUGCAAGUUUGCGAUGGGGAGUUAUUGUACAAAAAAUGCUAUAAUUUUGUUAUUUUAAAAGAUGCAGGUCUAAAAUUUUGAAUUUAUGUUAAGGACACAUGUACAGUUCAGAAUAUGUGAACAACUCAGUUUCCAUAAAAAUGUCAUUUGGGACCAUUUUGUCAUGGCUUGCCACAUAUAUGUGUGUGUGUGUGUGUGUGUGUGUGUGCAACUGUUUUGAAUGCCUAGAAAAAUAACACUGCACUGCAAAACCAGUCUGUCUGAUUGUAUACUAAAUCCCAGGGCUAUUUUAUGUCGAAUGGUUCAGUUAGAGAAGCAAUUUAGGGGGUAUUUUUGUCACUUGAAUACAUGUAAUAACACAUAACAACAUAGCUGUUAUAUA